rnacentral:rRNA from 1 species
CAAUAGCGUAUAUUAAAGUUGUUGCAGUUAAAAAGCUCGUAGUUGGAUUUCGGGGCAGCCCGGCUGGUCCGCCGCAAGGCGAGUACUGGUCAGCCGCCCUUCCUCUCGAAAGCCCCGACUGCUCUUUAUUGCAGUGGUCGGGUAGUUCGGGACGUUUACUUUGAAAAAAUUAGAGUGUUCAAGGCAGGCCUACGCCUGAAUACAUUAGCAUGGAAUAAUGGAAGAGGACCUCGGUCCUAUUUUGUUGGUUUCCAGGACCGAAGUAAUGAUUAAGAGGGACAGUUGGGGGCAUUCGUAUUUAAUUGUCAGAGGUGAAAUUCUCGGAUUUAUGAAAGACGAACAACUGCGAAAGCAUUUGCCAAGGAUGUUUUCAUUAA